CCUACGGGAGGCAGCAGUAGGGAAUUUUCGUCAAUGGGCGCGAGCCUGAACGAGCAAUGCCGCGUGAACGAGGAAGGUCUUCGGAUCGUAAAGUUCUGUUGAAGGGGAAAAAGAGCGGAGAGAGGAAAUGGUCUCCGAUUGAUAUUACCCUUCGAGGAAGUCACGGCUAACUACGUGCCAGCAGCCGCGGUAAUACGUAGGUGGUGAGUGUUAUCCGGAAUGAUUGGGCGUAAAGGGUGCGUAGGCGGCCUGCUAAGUCUGGAGUGAAAGGUACCGGCUCAACCGGUACAGGCUCUGGAAACUGGCGGGCUAGAGAGCAGGAGAGGGCGGUGGAACUCCAUGUGUAGCGGUAAAAUGCGUAGAUAUAUGGAAGAACACCAGUGGCGAAGGCGGCCGCCUGGCCUGUUACUGACGCUGAGGCACGAAAGCGUGGGGAGCAAAUAGGAUUAGAUACCCCAGUAGUC
rnacentral:rRNA from 1 species